UUUGGGAGGUUGAGAUGGAUUUUCCAAGUCAUGGCUCACAACUGUCUUUGGCCUUUUUUCUCUCCAAGUCUGUUGUACAUGGGAGAUGUGAUGUGACCCCACUAUAUAUAGUUGGUACUAUUGAUAGAAUGGAUAGGUGUGACAUUUACUGAGCCUAGCUGGUAUUCAAGAGAAUGUAAUUACUACCAGACACUUACUACUGAUAUAAAUGAUUGAUCUUUUCUUCUCUUCUUGCAACUUGUCUCAACUAGCUUAUGCUAUAUGCAACUUGUGUCUAAACCUUAUUUGCAACUGUAAAAUUACCAAUAAAGUUUUUGAAAGUUUUGUCCUAA